rnacentral:rRNA from 1 species
AUCCGGGUUGCGGACAGUGUCUGGUGGGUAGUUUGACUGGGGCGGUCUCCUCCUAAAGAGUAACGGAGGAGCACGAAGGUUGGCUAAUCCUGGUCGGACAUCAGGAGGUUAGUGCAAUGGCAUAAGCCAGCUUGACUGCGAGCGUGACGGCGCGAGCAGGUGCGAAAGCAGGUCAUAGUGAUCCGGUGGUUCUGAAUGGAAGGGCCAUCGCUCAACGGAUAAAAGGUACUCCGGGGAUAACAGGCUGAUACCGCCCAAGAGUUCAUAUCGACGGCGGUGUUUGGCACCUCGAUGUCGGCUCAUCACAUCCUGGGGCUGAAGUAGGUCCCAAGGGUAUGGCUGUUCGCCAUUUAAAGUGGUACGCGAGCUGGGUUUAGAACGUCGUGAGACAGUUCGGUCCCUAUCUGCCGUGGGCGCUGGAGAACUGAGGGGGGCUGCUCCUAGUACGAGAGGACCGGAGUGGACGCAUCACUGGUGUUCGGGUUGUCAUGCCAAUGGCACUGCCCGGUAGCUAAAUGCGGAAGAGAUAAGUGCUGAAAGCAUCUAAGCACGAAACUUGCCCCGAGAUGAGUUCUCCCUGACCCUUUAAGGGUCCUGAAGGAACGUUGAAGACGACGACGUUGAUAGGCCGGGUGUGUAAGCGCAGCGAUGCGUUGAGCUAACCGGUACUAAUGAACCGUGAGGCUUAACCUUACAACGCCGAAGCUGUU